UACGUAGGGUGCGAGCGUUGUCCGGAAUUAUUGGGCGUAAAGAGCUUGUAGGCGGUUUGUCGCGUCUGCUGUGAAAAUCCGGGGCUCAACCCCGGACUUGCAGUGGGUACGGGCAGACUAGAGUGUGGUAGGGGAGACUGGAAGUUCCUGGUGUAGCGGUGAAAUGCGCAGAUAUCAGGAGGAACACCGAUGGCGAAGGCAGGUCUCUGGGCCACUACUGACGCUGAGAAGCGAAAGCAUGGGGAGCGAACAGG
rnacentral:rRNA from 1 species